rnacentral:pre_miRNA from 1 species
AGUGGGAUAGCUGGGUCAAAUGGUGGUUCCAUUCCAAGUUUUCUGAGGAAUCUCCAUACUGCUUUCCAUAAUGGUUGUUCCAAUUUGCAGUUCCACCGGCAAU